rnacentral:rRNA from 1 species
UCCAGACUCCUACGGGAGGCAGCAGUGGGGAAUAUUGCACAAUGGGGGAAACCCUGAUGCAGCGACGCCGCGUGAGUGAAGAAGUAUUUCGGUAUGUAAAGCUCUAUCAGCAGGGAAGAUAAUGACGGUACCUGACUAAGAAGCCCCGGCUAACUACGUGCCAGCAGCCGCGGUAAUACGUAGGGGGCAAGCGUUAUCCGGAUUUACUGGGUGUAAAGGGUGCGCAGGUGGCAGGGCAAGUCAGAUGUGAAAGCCCGGGGCUCAACCCCGGUAUUGCAUUUGAAACUGUCCGGCUAGAGUGCAGGAGAGGUAAGCGGAAUUCCUAGUGUAGCGGUGAAAUGCGUAGAUAUUAGGAGGAACACCAGUGGCGAAGGCGGCUUACUGGACUGUAACUGACGCUGAGGCACGAAAGCGUGGGGAGCAAACAGGAUUAGAUACCCCAGUA